ensembl:lncRNA
CCAGCUCUGGAACCUGCCCAGGGGUAGUGGGCACGGGGACCCCUCAAGCUAGCGUGACCCCCCCCCCUUCCCGGCUAGCUUUCAAACAAGGAAGAGCAUUUUUAAAAACUACAUGAUCUGAAAGCCGAUGUGAUGAAUUCUGGCUGAAGGCAGCUGGAUUUAACUUGGGGCAAGUGUUAGGUGGGAUUCAGGCUCAUUUUAAAGGCAGCCCAGAUCCAGAGACCAGGUCCCCAGGGGCCUGGAUGAGUGCUUCCUGGAGGAGGCUGCUCCCGUGGCUCCCCCUUGAGGCCGACAGCUGUUCCCACCUCCUUUCCAAACAAUCGAUUCACUUAGGCGGCCUUCCCUCGAAUCCCCACAUCAAGGCAGCUGAAGGGCAUAUCACGUGUCACCCAUAAAAUGCUCAUGCCUGGAGCGAGGCCCCCAUAGACCAGGACCCGGACUUGGCUGGCCUCUUUGCAAGACUCCUUCACAUGUAACCCCCAGACCAAGGCCAUGUCCUGAUUCAUCUUUCCUUUCCCUCGCUCCCUUCCUUCAGAUUAGCAAAUCCUCAAGAGACACACUUUCCUUCCUUUUUUCCUUCUGUUGCCGUCUUUCCUCUACUGCUUCUGCACAGACCCUCAGGCGCCCCAAGGAGACCAGUGUCUUGAAGGGUUGAGAGACUCCCAGAAGACUGGCCCCUGCCCUCAUCUUCCCGGUGUGGGCGGCCCCAAAGUCCUGGAUCAGACCAAUGUGGCCCUGGCACUUGCUGCAGGAAACAACCCCCAUGCAUAUGCGUGUAAAGAACUCAGGAAAUCCAACCAGAGCAAAAGGUACCUGUUAGGGAAGGAACAUCAGUGCAGGCCACAGCCCUGCUCUGUGAGCAGGAACAAGCCGGAGUCCCCAGGUCCCCUCCUCACCCUCUCCCGCCCUCUCUCCUCUGCAUACACGCCUCCCCAACAUGCCCAGACUUGCAUUUUUCCACUGCAAAGGCUGAAGGGAACAAGACAUGGGCGGGGGGGUGAAGGCCAUACAUGUUUAUGUGCAUGUGGAUUCAGAAAACGCAUCACAAGCCACACAAAACUGAGACAGACUGGAAAACUCAGAGAAAAGUACCAUCUCUACGCCCAGCCCUCUAGGACAAACGGCCACACCAAAGCUCCAGGGGGUGAUGUCCACCCCGUGGCACCAAGAUGGGACCAAGAUUGCCCUGCAAGCUCCCCGUUUCUCCCCCCCGCACCGCAUUUGCUCCCCUGGCUGAGAACCAAAUACAGGUGUGUUGCUAAAGCGUGGAACCCAGGGGCCUUGCUAUGCAGCCGUGCCAAACCCAGAGGCUGGAUUCCGAAAAUCCAGACCCAAGGCCACCACCAGGGACAGGGACGGGAGGCCCUUUCCCAAACUGCGGGGCGCUGUCAGAGGCUCCAUCCGUGCUUCUCUCUCAAAAUGCAGCCACGGCAAAGGAUGCGGACGGGGGACGCAGGGAUGGGGUGGAAGAGCCCGUCUCACGCAAGGACUUGUUCAUCCUGGCCCCAGAGGUAGAAUCAUUUCGUCCAGUAUCUGACACCCAAGCUUCGGCUCUGGUUCUUAGGGCGGCUCCUGACGGCCGCCCUCGCCCCCGCCCCCCUCCAGGACCCCCUGCCCCC